rnacentral:rRNA from 1 species
GUAACCUGCCCCAGACUCUGGGAUAAGCCUUGGAAACGAGGUCUAAUACUGGAUAUGAGAUGCCCCUGCAUGGGGAGUGUCUGGAAAGAUUUAUCGGUCUGGGAUGGACUCGCGGCCUAUCAGCUUGUUGGUGGGGUAAUGGCCUACCAAGGCGACGACGGGUAGCCGGCCUGAGAGGGCGACCGGCCACACUGGGACUGAGACACGGCCCAGACUCCUACGGGAGGCAGCAGUGGGGAAUAUUGCACAAUGGGCGCAAGCCUGAUGCAGCGACGCCGCGUGAGGGAUGAAGGCCUUCGGGUUGUAAACCUCUUUCAGCAGGGAAGAAGCGCAAGUGACGGUACCUGCAGAAGAAGCGCCGGCUAACUACGUGCCAGCAGCCGCGGUAAUACGUAGGGCGCAAGCGUUGUCCGGAAUUAUUGGGCGUAAAGAGCUCGUAGGCGGUUUGUCGCGUCUGGUGUGAAAACUCAAGGCUCAACCUUGAGCUUGCAUCGGGUACGGGCAGACUAGAGUGCGGUAGGGGUGACUGGAAUUCCUGGUGUAGCGGUGGAAUGCGCAGAU